CUACCUAUCCAUGUCAUGCUUUAUACAGCGUGACCCCCGGUAGAUCUUAUAAUAACUUAGGCAUGAUCCGCAUAUUGAAAACCCGGCUUAUAAUAUGAUUCAAGUUUCUGACGCUAUCAAGCUUUCGACGGUAUGGUAUUGGCUUACCGUGGCAGUGACGGUUAACGGGGGAUUAGGGUUCGAUUCCGGAGAGGGAGCCUGAUAAACGGCUACCACAUCUAAGGAAGGCAGCAGGCGCGCAAAUUACCCAAUUCUAACAGUUUGAGAGAGGUAGUAACAAGAAAUAACAAUACAUGGCAGUUAAAAUGCUUUGUAAUUGGAAUGAUAGAAAUUUAAACCCUUUUUAAAGUAUCAAUUGGAGGGCAAGUCUGGUGCCAGCAGCCGCGGUAAUUCCAGCUCCAAUAGCGUAUAUUAAAAUUGUUGCAGUUAAAAAGCUCGUAGUUGAAGUUCUGCUAAAAGUAACCGGUCUGCUUUUAAUAAAGGUGGUAUCUUGGUGUGUAUUUAGCAAUGAUGUCCUUUGAAGUGUUUUUUACUUUAUUGUAAUAAAGCAUAUUCAGGACUUUUACUUUGAGAAAAUUAGAGUGUUUCUAGCAGGCUAACGCUUUGAAUACUGCAGCAUGGAAUAAUAAGA
rnacentral:rRNA from 1 species